ACGGGAGGCAGCAGUGGGGAAUAUUGCACAAUGGGGGAAACCCUGAUGCAGCGACGCCGCGUGAGCGAUGAAGUAUUUCGGUAUGUAAAGCUCUAUCAGCAGGGAAGAAAAUGACGGUACCUGACUAAGAAGCCCCGGCUAACUACGUGCCAGCAGCCGCGGUAAUACGUAGGGGGCAAGCGUUAUCCGGAUUUACUGGGUGUAAAGGGAGCGUAGACGGUAUGACAAGUCUGAAGUGAAAGGCAUGGGCUCAACCUGUGGACUGCUUUGGAAACUGUCACACUAGAGUACCGGAGGGGUAAGCGGAAUUCCUGGUGUAGCGGUGAAAUGCGUAGAUAUCAGGAGGAACACCGGUGGCGAAGGCGGCUUACUGGACGGAAACUGACGUUAAGGCUCGAAAGCGUGGGGAGCAAACAGGAUUAGAUACCCUGGUA
rnacentral:rRNA from 1 species